CUGUGAAUGAGGGCCAGUUUCAGAUUACACCAGCGAAGUUCCUGAGGUUGUGAAAACGUUUCCACUACCACCCCACACCCACGUGAAACACGGAGUGCAGAAGAAACACGGAGUGCAGAAGAAAAAGGAGAUAGCCAGCUUCAAAACCACUGAAGACACUCUCAGCGAGCCACCAUCUCUUCACCUUUGUACAAAAGCAUCAAAAAAGACAAGAGCUCUCUGGACCUCCAGACAUCUCCAGAGGACAACUAGAUGUCCCAACUUGAAGACCUCAAAUUCAACACAACCCAAAGAACACACUCAUUGUGCUUGCCCAGAUCUCUUCCUCCUUCUAGGUUCCUUAUGUUCCUGGAUAGACGGUUCACGAGUGCAGAAACUCAUCUGUUUAAUUUUACUACUUGGUCCCUGGGGCCUAGGACAGCCCAGGCAUAUAGCAAGUGCUGAAGAAAUUCAUAGUGAAUCAAUCAAGCAUCAGUGUUUUCAACUAUUUCUGUUUGUUUUCUUGUUAAUGGACCAGCAGGGGUGUGCACAUAGUGAUUAGCAGUGAUUUAAAGGUCAAACACGAAAGUGGAGAUUAUGCUGCCACGCUAAGUCAGCCUACUUGGCCAGGGUCUAUCCUCUGUCCGAGUUACAUCAAUUCAUAAUUCUCCUGCAGUUUCAAUAUGCUAAGCAAUCCCUACUAAUAGAGAUGAGAGAACAAACCUGCAUUAUGUAUAAGUAUGCCUCUCACACGAAAAACCAAGCGUUACUAAGGCUGCAUGGGAAUGUUAAUGUCUUCUGUGCCAUGGGUAAGGUUAAAAAAAAAGACAACCCCUUUGAAAUUAUAAUAAAAUACAUUCUGAAUUAUCUAAAAGCUUCAAACAAACAAUUACUCCUCGGAAAGGUCUUCCCUCAGCACAAUUAAUCUGAAACCUUAGAUCACACAAUUAAGUACAUUUUCACCUUCGUUAAAAUUGUUACUAGUGGGAGUCUUUAGGAAGGCAUUACUGGGCUUUUUUUUUUUUUUUUUUUUUGGUUUUUCGUACUGCAAAAAUGAAUGGAUUAAUACCUAUCUGAACUGUAUAAUAAUUUAACAAUUCUCCAAUUUCAAGCUAAGAUUUCUCUCAGAGCGGUGACCCCACUCUCAUCAUUUAGUUGAAGUCUGCCCAAUACAUUCAAAAGAUUUCUGCCUAUUAUAACACUGCAGCAAGACACUUUCAUUUGAUAAUCUUUGUGGCAGUAAAAUCUCAAUCACUAACUCUUUGCAACUUUAAAAUGUUGUGAAUCUUUGAGCCCCACUCUCUAAGGACUCUGAGCACUGCCUGUGCUGGUUUGCCUGGCCCUGACCUCCAGCGUUCUGUACUUCUCCGGGGAGCAUGACGGGCGACAUGUAUACCACCGGGAGACAUGGCAAAAGGACAGCGCUCAAGAACAUGGUUGCUAACAAAAACAUUUAGAGGAAGACAGCCCAAUGUCACGUUGACACCAGUCCAUUCCGUAUUCUGACGGGACCAAGCCACCACCCCACCUAAGAAUAUCAAUUACGUUUUGGAAGCAUGCAGUUUGAUUCAUGCAGAAACUGCUGUGUAUGCAUCAUGGUGUUUUCAUA